CGGGAGGCCGUGAGGUGGGCGACACGGAGGGGCCGUCAGGGGGCGGUGGGAGUGUGGCCUUUCAGGCCGGGCAUGGAGAUGGUGACGGGACAGCCAAGGUCCUGACAAGGUGUGUGAGCAAGAAGGAAGCUGACGGAGAGGAGAGGAAGCCGGCACACGGAGCGGCAGGGGCAGGAAUGUAGCCACCGAGCUUCCUCUUAUGACCCAGACGAAGAGACAGAGGCCAGAUACUUCCUCGCAUCGGCAACAAUGAAAAACAUUGAGGAAUGUGAGGUGAGAGCCUGGCCACCGGGGCGGGGCGGGGGGGGGGGGGGGGGGGAAGAAGGGUGUUGCCUGAGAAACGGAGGCAGGCCUGCCACGGCCUGUCCUGCAGCAGGACCGGGGUCCUUCCUCCUCCGCGCAGGCUCCGGGCCGUGUCCCUUCACCUGCCCUGGGUGGUGACAGCCCACGGCGCCCCCCAGCCCCUCCGCCCUGCGGUCCCCACGCCCUGUCCUCAGCUUUGCCAGUGGUCCUUUUGUGCAGCUCCCCCCAGAGCCCCCGGAUUGAAGGACCACCGUCCCGGGCCCCCAGGAUGCCUGACAACACGCCCUCCACUCGCUUAGGGAGCCCUUCAAAAUUCACUUCUCCAAGUGCACGAUCCUAUUUGUGGAGCAGAGCUCGCAAAACCCGGAAUCUGGCUGAAGCUGGCGGCUUUUGGGAAUCCCUGUCCCGGCUCAGAGGCGUUAACGUUCACCGGGGUCGGGCCCCCGUCGUCUGGGGCGGGCAGAGCUCUGCUGAACUCCGGGACCCUGGCAGGCCCCUCCGUCUCUUAGGGUUUAAUUUCCUUUGAAAAGUCAGGGUGGGUUGGAGUCCUCACCAAUAAUAAAAGGAGCAAAACCACGAACAGCCUGCUGCCACAGCAGCCCAGCCUCCCCCCUGCGCUGCCCGCCACGCUAUCUUUGUGCUCGUGCAGGUACGUGUGAGCGCUUCCUGGAGGUGUUUGUGAGGCCAGCGGGGUGGCCAGCGUCAGGGGUGGUGCGCCGUGGGGGAGGGACAGUUCCACACGGACCCUGUUUUCUGUGCUGUUGUCCCUGAAAUAGAACGGCCCGAUCCUGUCCAGUUCGCAUCCCGGCGGCUUCACCUCCCGGAGGGUUCCUGGCCGCGAAGGAAGGACUUCCCUUGUCCCCUGGUUUCCUUACCAGGCUUCCUCAGACCCCACUCAGGGGAAUGCCGGCUUGGCAGGAAGACACAAGCGGCCAAGGUCUUUCUGGCCGCGGGCCCCGCGUCGGUCCUUGCGGUUCCUGCUCAGUGACUGGACGGGACGUGGCCUCACAGGCCCACAGAGGCUGCGCGGUGUCUCCUCUCGCCCAGUCAUCCCUCCCUCAGGCCCGCUUCCUCAAAGCGCGUGGGGAAUGGCGGGGGAAGGGUGCAUCCUGCCAGGGAUCACGCGUUCAGCUCAUCCUGUCACCGUAAGGAACAGGAGGGUGGAAGGUGUAGGGGGUCCUCGGGAGUCGCACGGGUCUGCCUUCAAGCCUCGUGUCGGCCCCUAACUAGCUGUAAACUUGGAACACACUUAGCGAUCGGGGAACUGACUGCAUAUAUGACCUUCUAAUUAAAUGUAAGACACCCAGGUCACUCUGAAUGGCCAAGAAACAAUGAAUGACUUUUUUGGUACAGCAUGGGACACCCUUUUAUAAAAACGGUUUGUUGUUUACCUAGAAUUCAAAGUUACCCGGGUCUCCUGCAUUUUCCUGGCUGUCUCCGCGAGCCCGGCUGUAUACCGUGUGGCUGGCACACGGCCAGGGUUGCCUCCCCUACGCGGACUCAUUCGACAAAUACCGCGAGUCCACGGUGGGCCAGGCCCUGGGGAUGCAGCGGGGAGCAAGACGGUGCCCGUUUCCUGUGGCUCCUGAAACAAACACCACGGAUUUAGUGGUUUAAAUGAUACAUGUGCUCUCCUACGGUCUGGAGGUCGCAGAUAUGGCGUCGUCUCACUGGGCUAAAAUCAAGGCACUUACAGGGCUGGCUCCUUCGGGAAGGUCGAGGCGAGACUCUGGUUCCCGGCCUUUUCCAGCCCCCGGAGGCGCCGCAUCCUGGCCUGUCCACCACCUUCACGGCCCGCCGGAGUGGGUCCAGUCCUCUCCCACUUCCAACUUCCACGACCCUGCUCUCUUCCGUCCCCUUCUUCCGCUUCCAAGGACCCCCGUGGUUACCUCGGGGACACCAAGUGUUCCGGCACAAGCUCCCGGGUUCAAGGUCAGCUGAUUAGCAGCCCCAGCUGCCCUGUGCCUCAGGGGACGGCCUCUUCGCAGGCUCCGGGGACCAGGACGUGACGUCUCCCAGGGUCUUCACUCUGCUAACAGUCUCUGAUCGCACAGAGCUCACGUCCGGGGCGGGAGAGGCAGGCCAUCAACAAGCCACAACGCAGGGCCCCCUCCUCCUCGGCUUGUGCGUGCCCAGCCCUCCCCCAACCCAGGGGCCCCUGGCACGAUCUCAGCUUGCGGGUCACAGAGUCAAAAUCCGAACUCGAGACACAGACUAAAUAAAAACAGGCAAUGCUGGAAAGGAAAAGCAGGGUGACCGGCUGGCCUUCCCGAAGCUGGAUGCCAGCCUCGCCGGGAAGCCCGCCUCGGGGCGCAAACCGAGGAGAAUGAGUGUGGGGGCCACCAAAACGCACGUGCUGGUGCGUGCGGGCCGUGUGCCUCCUGACCGCCAACGACCAGAAACCGCUCAAAGGCCCUUCAUAGCUAAACAAGUGAAUGCGAUGCAAUAUAUCGACGCAAGAACGAACAUCUCCUGCUGCGCACGGGAACGCGGCUGGUUAACGUGCCGCGGACGGGACGUACCGCCAAGCCGACAGGCGACCCGGAUCCGCGCUCCAACCGUGUGGGUGUCGG
rnacentral:lncRNA from 1 species